GUGGAAUGAAUGGUCCCCCCUGCAGCUCAGCCUCAUCUCCUUAAUGGAUCCUAAUUACCCCUGUCCUGCUUAUAGCUUCUCUCCAGGACCCACUUGUCAGGAUGAUGGAUGAGGUGACUGGGAGGUGGGGCCAGCUGGGACUGGAGGAAUCCCCCCACUGUCUAGUAGGGCGGGGACGCAGGAACUUUCAGUCAGUCCCAAAGAUUCUGAGGAAGAGAAGACAACAUUGCAGGAUGAGCUCUUCUCCCCUUUUGUCCCCAAAACUUGGGCCAGUUCUAGCAAACUCAUACACCACUCCAGUAGCCCUGUGUAGAGGCCCACAUGGAGAGGAACAAAAUUGCCAGCACUAACUCAUGAGGCAUAUGAGUGAACCAACUUAAGAGCAUAUCCUCCAGCCCUGGUCAAGCCUUCAGAUGACUUCAGUCCCUCAGCCCUCAUGUGCUCCAGUUGAGGCCCCAGACAUCAUGGAGCAGAGGAGCCUUGGACACCUACUUGCAAGUCCUCAGGAGGAUAGGCUAUUGGAGAUCUGGGUUCCAAACACAGAGAUACUGGAAUGAAGAAGACAGCGGCUCUCUGAUGAGCUUUCUGGGGUUUGGAAGAGUUCAGGUGCAUGAGGAGCAUGACUUCUUCCUCUCCUGCAUCUUAGAGGGAUCAUCAAGCCUUCAUUAGAAUCAGCCAGCAUCCUUCUAGGCAUCACAAGAAGCUGUCGUUUAUGGCUUCGAAGGGAGCUGCUAUCUUGAUCAAGGACCAGUGCUGAGAAUAUGGUCUUGAGGCCAGGGAGUUCGGUUUGCCCUCACAGCUGCCCCGUCCAUUCCCACAGUCACCCCACACUGUACAUCGUCCUGUGGCCAUGCUGAUGGUGCCUCCAGAGGCCGUGGCUUCUCCAUCUCAGGCUGAGGAAUGCUCUCUCCUCAGGAGCUCCCUCGUAUCUCAGAAGAAAUUGCCUCUGGAAGGAACACAGUUGGAUUCAAGAUCUUCACUCUCUAUCAACAUACCGGGGGAGUUGGGGGCUGAGAGAAUCAUUGAUCAUGAAGGUGUCGCUUGCCAGGAAGACCUGAAGCAGAGAUGGCAAUGCUUGUGUCAUCCCCAGAGCCAACUCUAAUGGCAUUUGAAGCUCAACUCUGGGUCCUCUGGCUGGGCCAAAACCCCUGCAUCAUCCCCACACGUCGGCUCGCUGAGCCAUUGUCUGUUGUGGUACCCUGGAGUUGCUGGUUGCUAUGGGCCUGGAGGCCUUGUUCCUGCUCAAAGCAGCCAACACACGACUAAGCAAAGACCGUAUGUCUCAAGGACACCAGGCCAAGGCACCAGUCUACUCAAGGAAUUUAAUCGGGAUCCUAAUGAGUCACAGAGGGUGGUGCUGAGACCUGGGCCCAUCACAGCAUCGUUCACGGCUCUGGAAACAGUGAGGCUAUGUGUGCAGGAGAGACACGGUGGAAUGAGGAGGGACAGGGAGGAUGCUCGUGGCAGGAGGAGCACAGGCAGAAGC
rnacentral:lncRNA from 10 species